AAGAGAGAGAAGAGAGAGAGAGAGAGAGAGAGAGAGA
rnacentral:sRNA from 1 species